UUCAUGGCAACAGAACCCACAGCAACAAUGACCUUCAUCACCGUCUUCAUCUGGUCACUUGUCUUCUUUCAUGGUUCCAGUGGCCAGAUUACUGUGACUCAGACUCCAGCAGUGACAUCUGUUCUCCCAGCACAGACAGUCACUGUGAGCUGUAAGACCAGCAGUUCAGUGGACAGCAGCAGUUGUUAUUAUAGUGGCUCAUAUUACCCCUGUCUCGCUUGGUACCAUCAGAAAACUGGAGAAGCUCCUAAACUCCUGAUCUAUGGGGCGACAAUCCGUCAGUCUGGGAUCCCAGAGCGUUUCAGUGGCAGUGGAUCCGGAACUGACUUGACUCUGACUAUCACAGGAGUCCAGGCUGAAGAUGCAGGAGAUUAUUUCUGUCAGAGUCGUCACUACAUCAAUAGCAAGGAUGUGCUCACACAGUGA